rnacentral:rRNA from 1 species
AUUGAACGCUGGCGGCAGGCUUAACACAUGCAAGUCGAGCGGAGAUGAGGUGCUUGCAUCUUAUCUUAGCGGCGGACGGGUGAGUAAUGCUUAGGAAUCUGCCUAUUAGUGGGGGACAACAUUCCGAAAGGAAUGCUAAUACCGCAUACGUCCUACGGGAGAAAGCAGGGGAUCUUCGGACCUUGCGCUAAUAGAUGAGCCUAAGUCGGAUUAGGUAGUUGGUGGGGUAAAGGCCUACCAAGGCGACGAUCUGUAGCGGGUCUGAGAGGAUGAUCCGCCACACUGGGACUGAGACACGGCCCAGACUCCUACGGGAGGCAGCAGUGGGGAAUAUUGGACAAUGGGGGGAACCCUGAUCCAGCCAUGCCGCGUGUGUGAAGAAGGCCUUAUGGUUGUAAAGCACUUUAAGCGAGGAGGAGGCUACUGAGACUAAUACUCUUGGAUAGUGGACGUUACUCGCAGAAUAAGCACCGGCUAACUACGUGCCAGCCGCCGCCGUAAUAC